GAAUUUUGGACAAUGGGGGCAACCCUGAUCCAGCCAUUCCGCGUGAGUGAAGAAGGCCUUCGGGUUGUAAAGCUCUUUUGUCCGGAACGAAACGGCGAGCGUGAAUAUCGCUCGCUACUGACGGUACCGGAAGAAUAAGCACCGGCUAACUACGUGCCAGCAGCCGCGGUAAUACAGAGGGUGCAAGCGUUAAUCGGAAUUACUGGGCGUAAAGCGUGUGUAGGUGGUUUUCUAAGUCAGAUGUGAAAUCCUUGGGCUCAACCCGAGAACUGCAUUUGAUACUGGAAGACUCGAGUGCGGUAGAGGAUGGUGGAAUUCCCGGUGUAGCGGUGAAAUGCGUAGAUAUCGGGGGGAACAUCAGUGGCGAAGGCGGCCAUCUGGACUGACACUGACACUGAGACACGAAAGCGUGGGGAGCAAAC
rnacentral:rRNA from 1 species